rnacentral:rRNA from 1 species
GUAAUGUAUGGGGAUCUGCCCGAUAGAGGGGGGUAACUACUGGAAACGGUGGCUAAUACCGCAUAAUGUCUACGGACCAAAGCAGGGGCUCUUCGGACCUUGCACUAUCGGAUGAACCCAUAUGGGAUUAGCUAGUAGGUGGGGUAAAGGCUCACCUAGGCGACGAUCUCUAGCCGGUCUGAGAGGAUGAUCAGCCACACUGGGACUGAGACACGGCCCAG